GUUUAAUCAGCUGGAUCCAAGAAUAAACAGGAGGUCUUUCACUGAGGAAGAAGAGGAGAGGCUAUUAGCUGCUCAUAGAUUGUAUGGUAACAAAUGGGCUAUGAUUGCUAGGCUGUUUCCUGGCAGGACUGAUAAUGCGGUGAAGAACCAUUGGCAUGUGAUCAUGGCCAGAAAACAUAGAGAACAAUCCAGCAUUUACAGGAAGAGGAAACCCUCUUCUUCCUCCCAAAUCGUCCCACCCAUCAAGGAACUUGAUGUUAAUUUGCAAAACAACGCUUGCAGUGAAUCAACGACCAUCUCUAGCACCAUUGAUGAAUCUGCCUCAACAUGCACUGAUCUCUCCCUUAGUCCUUCAGCCAAAGCACACAAUAAGCUUUUCACAAGGUUCAGUCCCCAAGGAGCUCCCAUGGGUAUGCUUAAACCUCCAUCCCCUUCUCCUUCUCCUCCAACUCCCCCAAAUCUAUCAUAUUUGUCAACACAUGUAUUUUUAGCGUGUUUAUUACAUAUUUUCUUUUUGUUUGCCUAAAUAGUUAUUCUUGUUGGUGGACUUAUGUUUCUACAGGUUCUGCAGAAAAGGAAAUGAAAGUAGGAAAUGUAGAAUUUGACAAGUUCUAUUGCAGUAGUGGUGGCAAAGGGUUCUAUCAAAUUGGGUCCAUGAGUGUGGUUACGGGGCUGGACCAAUCUGGUCAGUCAGAUUCAAACUCGGAAGUGUCUGCAACUGAGUCAGUUGGCACCAACAGGAUCAACCCCUCUCUCUCUGGUGACAAUGAAGAUGGGAAUGAGAAAAUCAACGCGUCCUUUAUUGACUUCCUCGGGGUAGGAGCUACAUGAGAUGAGUUCAUUUUGGUAUAAAAUAGAGAAAACCGGGCAUAACAAAGAGAAGGGGGGAGUGAAUCUCAGAGACUCAGCUCUCAUUGCUACAGACUACAGUGUUUAAUAUACAGUUAGUUCCAUAAGUAGAAGAAGAGAACAGCAGUCAAAAAAUAGGUUAAUAGGAGGGGGGGGAAGCAGCAGCAGCUACUCUACUUGUUUAAAAAAUAAUCCUAAAAAGAAAAGAAAAGAAACCCCUCUUAGUUUUGGACUUGUGUAGCAAAAAAUAUACAGGGGUUAAGUCUUCUGUGAUGUAUUAUGCAUAUGCCUACCAUGGCUUUUUGUAAGAGUGAAGGAGAGGCAAAAGCCAAAGCCAAUCAAAGUUUGAUGUGCUAUUUUUUUCCUUUAAUCAGAGUACUGACUGAAACAUGAAUCAACAUGCCCAUCUUUCAUGACUUUGUG
rnacentral:misc_RNA from 1 species